UAUGAAGGGGGCUAGCGUUGCUCGGAAUCACUGGGCGUAAAGGGUGCGUAGGCGGGUUUUUAAGUCAGGGGUGAAAUCCUGGAGCUCAACUCCAGAACUGCCUUUGAUACUGAAGAUCUUGAGUCCGGGAGAGGUGAGUGGAACUGCGAGUGUAGAGGUGAAAUUCGUAGAUAUUCGCAAGAACACCAGUGGCGAAGGCGGCUCACUGGCCCGGUACUGACGCUGAGGCACGAAAGCGUGGGGAGCAAACAGG
rnacentral:rRNA from 1 species